rnacentral:tRNA from 1 species
GGGUUGCUAACUCAACGGUAGAGUACUCGGCUUUUAAUCUACUCCAUCCGACUAGUUCCGGGUUCGAGUCCCGGGCAACCCA